rnacentral:rRNA from 1 species
GAAUCCCGUCUUUGACACGGACUGCCUGUACAUUAUGGUGUGCUCUCGAAGAGUCGAGUUGUUUGGGAAUGCAGCUCAAAAUGGGUGGUAAAUGCCAUCUAAAGCUAAAUAUUGGCGAGAGACCGAUAGCGAACAAGUACCGUGAGGGAAAGAUGAAAAGAACUUUGGAAAGAGAGUUAAACAGUACGUGAAAUUGCUGAAAGGGAAACGCUUGAAGUCAGUCGCGUUGGCUAGAAAUCAACCUUGCUUUUGCUUUGUGUACUUUCUGGUUGACGGGUCAGCAUCAAUUUUGACCACUGGAUAAAGUCUUUGGGAAUGUGGCAUCUUCGGAUGUGUUAUAGCCCAUUGUCGCAUACGGUGGUUGGGAUUGCUCAGCACGCCGCAAGGCCGGGUUUCGACCACGUUCGUGCUUAGGAUGCUGGCAUAAUGGCUUUAAUCGACCCGUCUUGAAACACGGACCAAGGAGUCUAACAUGCCUGCGAGUGUUUGGGUGGAAAAACCCAUGCGCGCAAUGAAAGUGAAAGUUGAGAUCCUCUUCAAAGGGGGAGCAUUGACGCCCGGACCAGACCUUUUGUGACGGAUCCGCGGUAGAGCAUGCAUGUUGGGACCCGAAAGAUGGUGAACUAUGCCUGAAUAGGGUGAAGCCAGAGGAAACUCUGGUGGAGGCUCGUAGCGAUUCUGACGUGCAAAUCGAUCGUCAAAUUUGGGUAUAGGGGCGAAAGACUAAUCGAACCAUCUAGUAGCUGGUUCCUGCC